rnacentral:rRNA from 1 species
UACGUAGGGUCCGAGCGUUGUCCGGAAUUAUUGGGCGUAAAGGGCUCGUAGGCGGUCCGUCACGUCGGGAGUGAAAACUCAGGGCUCAACCCUGAGCGUGCUUCCGAUACGGGCGGACUAGAGGUAUGCAGGGGAGAACGGAAUUCCUGGUGUAGCGGUGGAAUGCGCAGAUAUCAGGAGGAACACCGGUGGCGAAGGCGGUUCUCUGGGCAUUGCCUGACGCUGAGGAGCGAAAGCAUGGGGAGCGAACAGG